UGUCAAGGGAUGGGAAACGAAGCCAACAGUGUUCCGCUUACUGGGCAGAUGCCAUGUCCACUAGGCUACCCUGGAC
rnacentral:tRNA from 1 species